rnacentral:rRNA from 1 species
GUAGGGAAUCUUGCACAAUGGGCGAAAGCCUGAUGCAGCAACGCCGCGUGCGGGAAGAAGGCCCUAGGGUUGUAAACCGCUUUCAGCAGGGAAGAAAAUGACGGUACCUGUAGAAGAAGGUGCGGCCAACUACGUGCCAGCAGCCGCGGUGACACGUAGGCACCAAGCGUUGUCCGGAUUUAUUGGGCGUAAAGAGCUCGUAGGCGGUUCAGUUAGUCGGGUGUGAAAACUCUGGGCUUAACCCAGAGACGCCACCCGAUACUGCUGUGACUAGAGUGCGGUAGGGGAGCGGGGAAUUCCUGGUGUAGCGGUGAAAUGCGCAGAUAUCAGGAGGAACACCAGUGGCGAAGGCGCCGCUCUGGGCCGUGACUGACGCUGAGGAGCGAAAGCGUGGGUAGCAAACAGGAUUAGAAACCCUAGUAGUCC